CGCGAUUGGAGCGGCCGAUGUCAGAUUAGGUAGUUGGUGGGGUAAAGGCCCACCAAGCCUGCGAUCUGUAGCUGGUCUGAGAGGACGACCAGCCACACUGGAACUGAGACACGGUCCAGACUCCUACGGGAGGCAGCAGUGGGGAAUUUUGGACAAUGGACGCAAGUCUGAUCCAGCCAUUCCGCGUGCAGGAUGAAGGCCCUCGGGUUGUAAACUGCUUUUGUACGGAACGAAAAAGUCUCUCUUAAUACGCGGGGUCCAUGACGGUACCGUAAGAAUAAGCACCGGCUAACUACGUGCCAGCAGCCGCGGUAAUACGUAGGGUGCGAGCGUUAAGCGGAAUUACUGGGCGUAAAGCGUGCGCAGGCGGUUAUAUAAGACAGAUGUGAAAUCCCCGGGCUCAACCUGGGAACUGCAUAUGUGACUGUAUAGCUAGAGUACGGCAGAGGGGGAUGGAAUUCCGCGUGUAGCAGUGAAAUGCGUAGAUAUGCGGAGGAACACCGAUGGCGAAGGCAAUCCCCUGGACCUGUACUGACGCUCAUG
rnacentral:rRNA from 1 species